UUAGUUGAUUCUACUUCUGGUUUACUAGUUACAUCGUUAUCCAUUGUCGGACUGUUUGUUGAUGCAUCUACACUAGAAUUGUUAUUAGCUUGCGGUUUAUCAUUUGCAUCAUCAGUUGCUGAUGUUGCUGUUGUUUCACCUGUUGCCGCAUCACUAUUAUUUGGUGUUGUCGGAGAAGCGUCUGCUUUGCCAUUAUCUGUCGUCUCAGAUACGUUAGGUUGUCCAGUAUUUUCUGGUGUUGCAUUAGCAUUUGAAUUUGCUGUUGCAUCAUU
rnacentral:sRNA from 1 species